rnacentral:rRNA from 1 species
UGCAAGUCGAGCGGAAAGGCCUUUCGGGGUACUCGAGCGGCGAACGGGUGAGUAACACGUGGGUAACCUGCCUUCAGCUCUGGGAUAAGCCUGGGAAACUGGGUCUAAUACCGGAUAUGACACGCGACCGCAUGGUGUGUGUGUGGAAAGAUUUUGUGGCUGGAGAUGGACUCGCGKCCUAUCAGCUUGUUGGUGGGGUAGUGGCCUACCAAGGCGAUGACGGGUAGCCGGCCUGAGAGGGCGACCGGCCACACUGGGACUGAGACACGGCCCAGACUCCUACGGGAGGCAGCAGUGGGGAAUAUUGCGCAAUGGCCGAAAGCCUGACGCAGCAACGCCGCCUGAGGGAUGACGGCCUUCGGGUUGUAAACCUCUUUCAGCGCUGACGAAGCCUUUCGGGGUGACGGUAGGCGCAGAAGAAGCACCGGCUAACUACGUGCCAGCAGCCGCGGUAAUACGUAGGGUGCGAGCGUUGUCCGGAAUUAUUGGGCGUAAAGGGCUCGUAGGCGGUUUGUUGCGUCUGCUGUGAAAGCCCGGGGCUUAACCCCGGGUCUGCAGUGGAUACGGGCAGGCUAGAGUCCGGCAGGGGAGACUGGAAUUCCUGGUGUAGCGGUGGAAUGCGCAGAUAUCAGGAGGAACACCGGUGGCGAAGGCGGGUCUCUGGGCCGGUACUGACGCUGAGGAGCGAAAGCGUGGGGAGCGAACAGGAUUAGAUACCCUGGUAGUCCACGCCGUAAACGUUGGGCGCUAGGUGUGGGUUCCCUUCCACGGGAUCCGUGCCGUAGCUAACGCAUAAGCG